UGGGGAAUAUUGCACAAUGGGCGCAAGCCUGAUGCAGCCAUGCCGCGUGUGUGAAGAAGGCCUUCGGGUUGUAAAGCACUUUCAGCGGGGAGGAAGGCGAUAAGGUUAAUAACCUUGUCGAUUGACGUUACCCGCAGAAGAAGCACCAGCUAACUCCGUGCCAGCAGCCGCGGUAAUACGGAGGGUGCAAGCGUUAAUCGGAAUUACUGGGCGUAAAGCGCACGCAGGCGGUCUGUCAAGUCGGAUGUGAAAUCCCCCGGCUUAACCUGGGAUCUGCAUUCGAAACUGGCAGGCUAGAGUCUUGUAGAUGGGGGUAGAGUUCCAGGUUUUUCCGUGACAUUCGUCGAGAUCUGGAGGAAUACCGGUCGCGAAGGCGGCCCCCUGGACCAAGACUGACGCUCAGGUGCGAAAGCGUGGGGAGCAAACAGG
rnacentral:rRNA from 1 species